rnacentral:tRNA from 1 species
GGUUAGCUAGUUCAGUUGAGCAUAGCACUAACAACGCUAAGGUCACGGGUUCGAUUCUCGUUCAGUCCC